UUCCGGUUGAUCCUGCCGGACCCGACUGCUAUUUGGGUGAGGAUAAGCCAUGCGAGUCGAAUGGGAUGCCCAAAAUUCCCAUGGCAAACUGCUCAGUAACACAUGAUCAACUUACCCUAUAGAGAAAAAUAACCUCGGGAAACUGAGGAUAAUGUUUCAUAAUUGAAUCGGCUUGGAAAAGUUUUUCAAUUAAAAGAAUAAGAAAAAUGGUUCUUGUUCGCUAUAGGAUAGGAUCGUGGACGAUUAUGGUUGUUGGUGAGGUAACGGCUCACCAAGCCGAUAAUCGAUAGGGGCCGUGAGAGCGGGAGCCCCGAGAUGGGUACUGAGACAACGACCCAGGCCUUACGAGGCGCAGCAGGCGCGGAACCUCCGCAAUACACGAAAGUGUGACGGGGUUACCCAAAGUGUUCAUUAUUGAACUGUGGUAGGUGAGUAAUGUUCCCUACUAGAAAGGAGAGGGCAAGGCUGGUGCCAGCCGCCGCGGUAAAACCAGCUCUUCAAGUGGUCGGGAUAAUUAUUGGGCUUAAAGUGUCCGUAGCUGGUUUAGUAAGUUCCUGGUAAAAUCGGGUAGCUUAACUAUCCGUAUGCUAGGAAUACUGCUAUACUAGAGGGCGGGAGAGGUCUGAGGUACUACAGGGGUAGGGGUGAAAUCUUAUAAUCCUUGUAGGACCACCAGUGGCGAAGGCGUCAGACUGGAACGCGCCUGACGGUGAGGGACGAAAGCCAGGGGAGCGAACCGGAUUAGAUACCCGGGUAGUCCUGGCCGUAAACGAUGCAUACUAGGUGAUGGUACGGCCAUGAGCCGUAUCAGUGCCGUAGGGAAACCGUUAAGUGUGCCGCCUGGGAAGUACGGUCGCAAGGCUAAAACUUAAAGGAAUUGGCGGGGGAGCACCACAAGGGGUGAAGCCUGCGGUUCAAUUGGAGUCAACGCCGGG
rnacentral:rRNA from 1 species